AAUUUUGGGCAAUGGGCGAAAGCCUGACCCAGCAACGCCGCGUGAGGGAUGAAGUAUUUCGGUAUGUAAACCUCGACAUAAUGGGAAGAAUAAAUGUCGGUACCAUUUAUAAGCUCCGGCUAACUACGUGCCAGCAGCCGUGGUAAUACGUAGGGAGCAAGCGUUGUUCGGAUUUACUGGGCGUAAAGGACGCGUAGGCGGCGCGGUAAGUCACUUGUGAAAUCUCUGAGCUUAACUCAGAACGGCCAAGUGAUACUGCUGGGCUAGAGGGCGGAAGAGGCAACCGGAAUUCUUGGUGUAGCGGUGAAAUGCUCAGAUAUGAAGAGGAACACCUGAGGCGAAGGCGGGUUGCUGGGCCGACACUGACGCUGAUGCGCGAAAGCC
rnacentral:rRNA from 1 species